GAUGAACGCUGGCGGCGUGCCUAAUACAUGCAAGUCGAGCGGAAAGACGAUGAGCUUGCUCUACUGACGUUAGCGACGGGCGGGUGAGUAACACGUGGAUAACCUACCUCUUAGACUUGGAUAAGUGCGAGAGGCCGGAGCUAAUACCGGGUAAUAUAUUUAACGGGAUGGUUCAAUAGUUAUUGAGGGGUUUGCUGACACUGAUAGAUGGAUCCGCGCCGGAUUAGUUAGUUGGUAAGGUAACGGCUUACCAAGGCAACGAUGCGUAGCCGACCUGAGAGGGUGAUCCGCCACACUGGAACUGAGCCACGGUCCAGACACCUACGGGCGGCAGAAGCAGCGAAUCUACGGAACUGGGCGGAAGACUGACCGAGCGACGCCGGGCGGGUGAUGCAGGUCUGCGGAUCGUAAAACUCUCUUAUUGGGGAAGAACACAUGCGCAAGGAACGAUGCAUGUUUUGACGGUACCUAAACAAAAAGCACCGGCUAACUACGUG
rnacentral:rRNA from 1 species